GGUUAAGCGACUAAGCGUACACGGUGGAUGCCUUGGCAGUCAGAGGCGAUGAAGGACGUGCUAAUCUGCGAUAAGCGUCGGUAAGGUGAUAUGAACCGUUAUAACCGGCGAUUUCCGAAUGGGGAAACCCAGUGUGAUUCGUCACACUAUCAUUAACUGA
rnacentral:rRNA from 1 species